UUCCUUGCCUAGGCCGUACCCCCACCCCUCUCCUCCAACCCCUCCACUCCUUCCGUACACGAGCCUGCCCCUCCAUUCCUCCUACUAUCUCUCUCUCUCUUACUACCCCCUCCUAAAUCUCUCUUUCCCACUCUCUCUCCCCCUCCCUUCCCCCACCUUCGCCUCUCUCUCUCUCUCUCCUCUUUUCAUCCCCUGCCCCUCUCGCUUUUUGCCUCCCCAUCGACCCUUUCGUUUACGGGUGUACCCUUGCAACCCUACCGAUACCGCUCUUUCCAUCCAUCCAUCCAUCCAUCCGUCCGUCCGUCCAUCCAUCCGUCCGUCCAUCCUUCCUUUCUCGCGUGCUGCGCUACGUUCGCUGCUAACGAAACGCGCGCAAAAAGUGUCUACGAUGCUCCACGACGCGGUUGUUUCUCCCGAGCGUGAUUUCAAAAAUGGGGGACGACCCUUUUUCAACAGCGACCGAACGACGGCCACGCGAUAUAAAUUACGGCACACACAUCUACGGGCCGUCUUCUCGUUGAAUCGAGCGUACACCGAGGAUGACGACGCGCCGUUGUUACGCAAUCCGAACCAAGGUGAUCCAAGUUUGUUUUCCCAACACAGUGUCAACGCCACGGUUAUUAUUUUAAAUACAUCGAUUGGACGUCGUGUGUCAAAUUUCCAUCGCUUCAACGUGCGAAAAGAAUUCGAAGGAUCGGAAAAAAGGAGGGAAAAGAGUUUCGCUAGUCGUAGCUGAGUUGUAAUUAAUCAAUCGACGAGCGAAAAAGUCGCGCUUCUGCUUUCCACGCGGUUCUGUUGGCGUCCAGUGGUGGAGAAUUACAUUGCGCGUGCAAGCAUUUCGCAUAGGUGCGCUCGCGGCAGAAUAUCGGAGCGAAUGCUGCGCAUUCCGCGCAAACGCGCUUUCCAAUUUUUCUAACUCGUAGCCCGGAUUUGCAGUCUUGCUUAUGAGCGAGAAAUCCGAUACCCCGAUAACAGAUAACAAAACGAUACGCGAUAUAACAAACGAAUUUAAAUCGCUUAGUCGCUUCGCAACUUUUUAAAUAAUCGUUUCGUACGAUUUUUCCCCUUCCUUCUUUUUCCUUUUUUUAAACCGGCUAACAGUCUACCAACGAUAUCCUGAACUUUUUAAAAGAUAAUUAACGAUCCAUCCGUGGGAGCCAAUAUUUGCUCCGAGCAUCGUUAAUUAAUUUCUGCCCGUAUCUCGGAACUGUUUGAAGAAGGAUCGGUCGGUAAAAAUUCACGGAAGGAGAGCCGAAGCCAAGAUUCGUUCGGCUCUUAUUAGAGUUGCUAGCUAGUUGUCGCCAAAAUUCGUAUUCCGAAUGGUCUAAUUUUCCGUUCACGGAAAAGGGAAAAACUGUCGUGCGAGAAAGAGAAUGAGAGAGUUUGGCACCUCGCAGGGCCGUACCAUAUUGACACGGUUCUCCCCGAGUCUAUGUAAAUCUCUGUUCCCUCGAAACGAGAGGGAAGACCCGUUACGCAAAACCUUAAACGGUCGAUCGACCGCACUAAGUAAAAAAUUAAAUGAAACGCGUUUGUUAGUUUGAAAUAAGCUCGGCAAACGUUUGGCUACGCUCCUGAAGAUCGGCACGUUUGAUCGUGGUGAGACACGAUCCUUUAUCUUGGCUAUCUCUCGGCCCGUUGGUGUCGUGCUACCUAACGACGCGUUUUCGACUCGCCCCGGAAGGAACCGAACAAAAACCCGAGACCAACAAGACUUUGCCUCGGAAUAAGGGUAAAUUGGGGUGCGCGCUUAAUUACCGAAGGUGACAAAUGCCAGCCCCGAGUUACCGAAAUACCUGCCUCCGAUACCUGAAACCUACCACCACGCCUUUAAAUCAUCGAACGAUACGACGCCGCAACCUUUGUUGCGUCGCUUAUCAACCGAAACAACCGAUCCCUCUUUAACUCCGUUUCUCAUUUUCCCUUUCGACGAAGAAACGCCAUUACGAAGAAAAACGCUGCGAAAAACUUCAACGACCGUGUUUCCUCCGAUUCGUAUUUAUUUCUUAUCCAUCUUAUUCUUUUCCUCCAACGAUUAAAUUUUCCUCGCCUCCCCCAACGUCAACGGAUCUAAAUUUUAAUGCGAUUUGUCUCUGAGCGAGACGAGUCUCGUCGAUAAACGGUACAUUACGUAACGUUACAUUAUGUAUCGUCAAAUUACGAACAACGAUAUUUCUUAUAUCGUUUCACCGGUAACCAAGAUGAAACGUGUCUUCUUUCGAUCCCCUUUCAACGAUCCUUAUGAUCCGAUGUAAUUCCUUUCCGAUGAAAUUUCUUUUCAAAAUGGCUUCCUCGUUAUCGGUAGCGCGAGAUAUUACCAAUAUGUGAAUAAAAUUUUCGAUACUCGGGCCUGUCGCUGAUAACUUUCAAUCUGAUGCAGAAUCGCUAUCUUUCCCGAUCGAAUCGAUCGAUCGUUUCAAUCGCGAUUAAACUGUGAUUUAACCGUGAUCCUAGCACUCGAGAUACACGCUGCUCCGUGAAAAAACAACUCGAUGAUGAUCGAGAACUCGGAGAGGAGAAAAGGGAAAGACGAAAUGGAAAUGGAAUAGCGCGAGUUGGCGAGAUCAUAACGCGAGAUCAUAAGGAGUUUCCUCGAGCUCGUGUAGCUUACACGAGUGUGGCGUAUACCAAAGCUCGCAGCGUAGCCUGGGUAAACCGCAUUUAAUCAGUUUGCGGUCGCGGCCCGCUCUCUUAUAUCCUUUUAAUACGUUUUCUCCUUUCUUCUCUUCCUUUACUCUCGCACCACGUAAUUCAACUCCCGCACAUAUGCAAGCUACGGCGCACCGUGUUCUUUCCUUUCCCCGGAUGAAUAACGACACGGUAGUGCCUGUAUCCUAAAUCUUUUUUUUCCAAUCGUAUCGUUCUCUUUUUUUUUUUUCUCUCUCUCCUUUAGAAAGUAAUCAUACGGAAUAGAAUGGUUUUCGUCGAGCUAAAUAUCGAAAUGUCGAAACGUUCGACCAAAGUUUCCUCCUUUUUCAAAUGUUCGUUUUCGAUAAUAAAAAAAAAGAAACGUGCACGUUCGCGAGAUAUUCAAUUAAUCUUAACUUAUCACUGGCGGAAUUUGAUAAUUUUGGAAUAAAGGAGGGGGUAUUUCGAAGGGAGUAUUUUCGAUUAUCUGGUGUAUAAAUUAGGCAGAUAAUCGUGAUUGGAUAAGAGGAGAGAUUAUGGGCGAAAACAAUUGGAACGAAACGUCGCAUCGAAAAAUUUCUUUCGUAUUUAAUUCGUAUCGGUCGAAUCGAUUUUCGUAGAAUCGGUUGGAGAGAGUAAGAAGUUUCCUGGGGCAAUUUUUAAGAGGUUUUACGCCUGUUUCGGGGGCCGGCCGGCAAUUUAGUGGAAUUAAAUAAUAGUCCGUCCCAUUAACGUAACGAUGCGGCUGAGGAUGUCCCGCAGGAUCCACGAGAAGAUUUUGAAAGUGGACGGAGGCAUGCCAGGUACGUUCACGUUUUAUUUCAUCGUAACGUGCCACGAGGUAUAGGUAUAUAAUACCUUCGUCUCACAAGUCAGGACCCUCCAAGGAUUCAUCCUCGAUCUUGUGUGGUCCUCCGUGGCUCCUCGAAUUAUUACCAACGAUUUCGCCCGUUCCUACGUCAAUCUUAAAAUUUGUCAAGAAUCCCGAUCCCCCCGCGUAUUCCGUGCGACUCGUCGUCCAUUUCCACCUGGCCAACUCGAAACUCUCGCUUUCACGCCCGAAAAACCCUCCAUUUUUACCUUUUUAACGACUUUUUUAGAGAUAUUUGUAUAUAUACAUAUAUAUAAAAAGAAAGAAAAAGCAAAUUUAAUCAAGUCACGAUACGAAACGAGAUAUAUUGUUGUUCGCGAAACGAACUCGAGAAAUUUAUCGUUUAUCGAAACGAAAGGAAUGGCGAAUAAAUCUUGGAAAAUGGAGUCGGAGUUCGCUCCCGAGGACCUUAUAUCGGAUCCAAUAAAAGAUAACGAUCCGCUCGUAGCGGAAUGAAGACGUAAACGCGAGCGUAAAAGGGCAGGGAAGCGGGGAUAAUCGAUCCCCCGUUUUCGGUGGAUGUCGCGGAGAUGAAACUCGAGCCCGCUCCAUAAUCGAAAGAACGUUGCAACCUGUCGCGUUACGACCCCUCUCGCGAGUUGGAGAUUCACAGAUGGAUCGGUGGUGAUUUUCCUCUCCCUCCUUUCCACUCCUGAAACAGACGUAUUUGCCAGUGACGAUAUCUUUAGGUGAUCCGCGCAACGGACGGAAUGCCGGCAGACCCACCGCAGCUUUGUGACACCACAACUUUCUGCUGCAAUAACAUUCGCGCCUUUACAACAACAGCUCGUCCUCUGAGACGAGAGAUCCACUCUGCAACAAUAAUACUGCAUGUGUGGCCUUCUCAGUGGUGCUCAAAUUUUUCGCAUCGUUUUCACCACGUAAUAACCGAUCCUCUAUUCCUAUUCGUGACCCACGUUUCGUCGAGCAAUCUUUUUCUUUUUUCGAACAGAGAAACAGAGAGAGAGAGAGAGAUCUAUCUUCGUGCCUCUUUGCGCGUCAUAAUAAACGUUUGUUUAACCGUCAUUGCAUUAUACAAAGUUAAUUAUCGGUGUUCUUUGAUUUAUAGUAACGAUAAUAUUAACAAAUUAAUUCGUGGAAUGGCAGUUGCUAAGUAGCUAAGUAAUUAAGAGGCGCGUUACUUCGAAUCGACGAUACGUUCGAACUUUUCAUCGAAGGAAGGAAGGAAGGAAGGAAGGAAGGAAGGAAGUACCUCUGUAAGAUUUUAAAGAAGCUAUAACCGAGGGGAAUGCAAACGAAGUCGGGAAAUGAAAGGAUGCAGGAACGUCGUCGUGGAAACGUUCUAAACUACGAAGAAAGUGGCGAGAGUUUCGCAAGAUUUCCAUUCACGAGGUCGCCGUCUAUCAUUGAACCGUUGGGGAUCCAACGUUACAAUUGAGGCUCGAAGGAGAAGGCCACAAAUGAUCCGUUCCGAAGAAAUUGGGAAAGAGAGAAAGAAACGUACACGAAAAAUCGUCGAUUUCGAUUCGUUCGUACGCGUUUCUUCUUGAAACGGAAUAUGGGAAUAUUUUACGUUGGCCGAGUGAAAACGGAGCACGCGCUCAUCCUAUCGGCGUUCGGUACCGGUACAGAGGUGUAUCUGCGGACAAUAAAUAAGCCGCGAUAACGGGAGAGUAACGACAGCGGACCAGCAAUCUUAUCAAAGGCACGCCGAUGUCUCGAAUUUAUUUUCCAAUCAGCGGCGGUGUUUCUAUUAUAAGUACGAUUGCCGCUCUGCCGCAUACGAUCAUCCGUGCGCAAGUAUGCAUCCGGCUACAUUGCGAUUUAAAAGCGCGCUCCGAUAUCUCUUAUACGUGUAUCCUCCUUGUCGCGUCCCAAUGGAAUUAAAUAUUAACGUGAAUUUGAUCUUACUCUUUACUCCGUAUUAUUAUUAUUAUUAUUAUGGAAGAAAUCGACCAUGAAUUAUUAGCAUUUUGCACGUACGUUAAAAGCAGGAAGGAAAAAAUUUUAGAUCGAUGAUAAAAACGGAAACAAUUGUCAAGAGUGCGUCGAGGAUUUAUUUUCGAGGGAAAAUGAAGAUAUAACAUUUUUAUUUCACGCGUGAAAUAUUUCGCGAUAAAAUUUUCGGUUAAUAACAAAGAAUUUCACGAUCGUUCGUUUAUAUUAUAUCGCGCGGAUUAAUAAUGAUGUCCCAUAUAAUAUUGCAAUUAUUUUCUAAAUUUAUAUGUUAAACUAUUUAUAUGUUUCUUGAUAUGAACAUAAAUGAUUUGUGUGAUAAAUAUUAAGAUAUAUAAGGAAUUAAAAGAUCGUCUGAUCGAUAUUUUAAUAU